rnacentral:rRNA from 1 species
CCUACGGGAGGCAGCAGUGAGGAAUAUUGGUCAAUGGCCGGGAGGCUGAACCAGCCAAGUCGCGUGAGGGAAGACGGCCCUACGGGUUGUAAACCUCUUUUGUCAGGGAGCAAGGUGCAGGUCGGGACCUGCUGUGAGAGUAACUGACGAAAAAGCAUCGGCUAACUCCGUGCCAGCAGCCGCGGUAAUACGGAGGAUGCGAGCGUUAUCCGGAUUUAUUGGGUUUAAAGGGUGCGCAGGCGGAGGCACAAGUCAGCGGUAAAAUCGCGGGGCUCAACCCCGCUCCGCCGUUGAAACUGUGGCCCUUGAGUGCGCGAAGGGUAGGCGGAAUGCGUGGUGUAGCGGUGAAAUGCAUAGAUAUCACGCAGAACUCCGAUCGCGAAGGCAGCCUACCGGCGCGCAACUGACGCUCAUGCACGAAAGCGUGGGUAUCGAACAGGAUUAGAUACCCUUGUAGUC